rnacentral:rRNA from 1 species
GACGAACGCUGGCGGCGUGCCUAAUACAUGCAAGUAGAACGCUGAAGGAGGAGCUUGCUUCUCUGGAUGAGUUGCGAACGGGUGAGUAACGCGUAGGUAACCUGCCUGGUAGCGGGGGAUAACUAUUGGAAACGAUAGCUAAUACCGCAUAAUAGUAGAUGUUGCAUGACAUUUGCUUAAAAGGUGCAAUUGCAUCACUACCAGAUGGACCUGCGUUGUAUUAGCUAGUUGGUGAGGUAACGGCUCACCAAGGCAACGAUACAUAGCCGACCUGAGAGGGUGAUCGGCCACACUGGGACUGAGACACGGCCCAGACUCCUACGGGAGGCAGCAGUAGGGAAUCUUCGGCAAUGGACGGAAGUCUGAUCGAGCAACGCCGCGUGAGUGAAGAAGGUUUUCGGAUCGUAAAGCUCUGUUGUAAGAGAAGAACGAGUGUGAGAGUGGAAAGUUCACACUGUGACGGUAUCUUACCAGAAAGGGACGGCUAACUACGUG